UGUUCAUUUGUCUGGGUGCAAGAGGAUGUUUCUCUUAGAAUAACCUCAAUAAUUACUUUUUUUCCUUUCUUCGUCCAUAGAAACAAGGAACUACUGCAUUCUUGCCUACCUGUAGUGGAGGAUGACGUUUCCCCUGUUAUAUACAUCUGUUAGGGCUGCAGGCAAAUGACCAGGCCCUGUCCUGAGUUCCUAAAUAGGUUUGAAGCUAAAGUGCUGGUUUUGGCAGUGAUGGGACAUAGCCUGCCUAAAGAGGGAAGGGAGAAGACAAACCUAUUAAACACGUAGGACCAUGGGUUCAUACACAGAAGUCUUGUCCUUUGGAAGGGUGAUCUGAAAGGAGGUCCCCAUGGUACCAGUACUAAAGGCAGAAAUCAAAGCACGGGACCCAUGGGAAGCGGCGUUUCAAAUGUAUACCACCACUCUUCUGUGUCACUGUUCUGAACUAUGCACCCUCCGCUCCUGACAGCACACCCACAACAAGAUAAGGAGGUGAGUUCAUGCUUUGUUAAUUCAUUUGUGAAUUAAACAAAGGGUUUUUUUUAACUAGAAAUUUUUCUUUCCACCUGCCUAGUCAAAACUGCUGAAAUACAAGAGACCAUAUAGGACAGCUUUGUUUAGG